rnacentral:rRNA from 1 species
UACGUAGGUGACAAGCGUUGUCCGGAUUUACUGGGCGUAAAGAGCGCGCAGGCGGUCGAUCAAGUCGAGUGUGAAAGCCCCCGGCUCAACUGGGGAGGGUCAUUCGAUACUGAUCGACUCGAAGGCAGGAGAGGGUAGUGGAAUUCCCGGUGUAGUGGUGAAAUGCGUAGAUAUCGGGAGGAACACCAGUGGCGAAGGCGGCAUCCUGGACCGAGAUUGACGCUGAUGCGCGAAAGCCAGGGGAGCAAACGGG